rnacentral:rRNA from 1 species
GAUGAACGCUGGCGGCGUGCCUAAUACAUGCAAGUCGAGCGAACGGACGAGGAGCUUGCUCUUCUGACGUUAGCGGCGGACGGGUGAGUAACACGUGGAUAACCUACCUAUAAGACUGGGAUAACUUCGGGAAACCGGAGCUAAUACCGGAUAAUAUAUUGAACCGCAUGGUUCAAUAGUGAAAGACGGUUUUGCUGUCACUUAUAGAUGGAUCCGCGCUGCAUUAGCUAGUUGGUAAGGUAACGGCUUACCAAGGCAACGAUGCGUAGCCGACCUGAGAGGGUGAUCGGCCACACUGGAACUGAGACACGGUCCAGACUCCUACGGGAGGCAGCAGUAGGGAAUCUUCCGCAAUGGGCGAAAGCCUGACGGAGCAACGCCGCGUGAGUGAUGAAGGUCUUCGGAUCGUAAAACUCUGUUAUUAGGGAAGAACAAAUGUGUAAGUAACUGUGCACGUCUUGACGGUACCUAAUCAGAAAGCCACGGCUAACUACGUG